rnacentral:misc_RNA from 1 species
UGGUAGGACUUCGACAAUUGGUUUUCCGAUUUCACGAAACUGCUUCCAUCAAGGUACAGAUUCUGUAUCAAGAAAGUGAGAUGAGGAGGAACACCCAUUUCCUAUCAAAACGCAAAGCAUUGUGCACAAAUUUUCUACACAUUAUACAACACAGCAAGCGUUCUUAGCUCUGCGCUUACUGACACAGUCUGUGUGCUCGUGUAGAGAGCCUCCACAAAAGAUUUGAUAGCUACAGUUACUCAUUUCAAAGCGUGAGCAAAGUCUAAUUAUAGAUUUCGAAAACAUUUUCGAUAUCCUUUAGUACGGGGGUCGGCUGUGGAUCAUUCGUCGAUGUCUAAGACAAACACUUGCUGAUUUUCUCCAAAUAGAAUAAAACAUUAUCUGCAUCACUUUAGUUUUUUAAUCUUUUGGCUCGUAAACUUGCAUUAGGUCUAAUGGCUGGCAUUCACCGGUAAAGGGGUGAUAGUGACCUUUCGAAGAAAAGGAGCCAAUUAUGAGUGGAGUUUGUGUUUUAGUGUAAUUUUGUAAGUGACAAAAAGACUCUCAAUACAUAUUUCAUAUUUUUUAGAUUUUUUUUAAUCCCAUGCCGUUCACGAGUAUAACAUAAGAAAAUAACUAUAGCAUAUAAGAUGGUAAAUAAGCUUCUCGUUCCUUUAAGUGCUCAGUAUCAAUCAGCUAACCAAGGUAAUACUUGGUUACUACUUACAGUUGUCAAAAAUGUCUUGCACUGGAGUCUUGUAUCUUUGAGCAAGGAUUCAAAGUGUCAAUGAAGGUUCUCGGUAAAUAAUGCGCCUUCCUGGAAAGCGUCACUUUCAUUAUUUGUCGAAAUACUUAUUUGUCCAGAUUCUUUCUUAGAUAGCAAAAUUACGAUCGAUCUAACCGCUUUUUGUAAUCGUCGAUCACUUCAGGUCAGACAUACUUUUUAAUACUUGUUGCUGUGUUUGAACCUUACUAUGUAAAUCAUUGUGUUCUAAGGGAGAUAUAACAUCAUCUGCAUCACUUGUUCUGUGUGUUUGUGGAGUUUUUUUUGCAGAGCGAAUGAAAAGUGCAAAAAAAAAGGAACUGAUAUAGUCUAAGUUUCAAUUAAAAGUUCCUUCAAACUUAUUUCGUGUGUUGUCAGUAUUAUCUCAAAAACGUUGUUCAUAUACUAGAUUUGCGUUUUAUUAUAUUUAUAUAAUAACCAUUCUAUUAUAAUUAAAAAUAAAAAAGUACUAGUCUCAUUGGUGCAAGAUGUAAUAUUUUAAUUACAAAGAGUAGACAUCGCGAGAGCGAUCCUCUAUGUAACCAUUCAGACAACUGUGAUUGAACGACUGGCUCGGGCUGUGCGGU